rnacentral:rRNA from 1 species
GACGAACGCUGGCGGCGUGCUUAACACAUGCAAGUCGAACGGAAAGGCCCUGCUUUUGUGGGGUGCUCGAGUGGCGAACGGGUGAGUAACACGUGAGUAACCUGCCCUUGACUUUGGGAUAACUUCAGGAAACUGGGGCUAAUACCGGAUAGGAGCUCCUGCUGCAUGGCGGGGGUUGGAAAGUUUCGGCGGUUGGGGAUGGACUCGCGGCUUAUCAGCUUGUUGGUGGGGUAGUGGCAUACCAAGGCUUUGACGGGUAGCCGGCCUGAGAGGGUGACCGGCCACAUUGUGACUGGGAUACGGCCCAGACUCCUACGGGAGGCAGCAGUGGGGAAUAUUGCGCAAUGGGCGGAAGCCUGAUGCAGCAACGCCGCGUGCGGGAUGACGGCCUUCGGGUUGUAACCCGCUUUCGCCUGUGACGAAGCGUGAGUGACGGUAAUGGGUAAAGAAGCACCGGCUAACUACGUG